GACGAACGCUGGCGGCGUGCCUAAUACAUGCAAGUUGAGCGAUGAAGAUUGGUGCUUGCCCCAAUUUGAAGAGCAGCGAACGGGUGAGUAACGCGUGGGGAAUCUGCCUUUGAGCGGGGGACAACAUUUGGAAAUGAAUGCUAAUACCGCAUAACAACUUUAAACAUAAGUUUUAAGUUUGAAAGAUGCAAUUGCAUCACUCAAAGAUGAUCCCGCGUUGUAUUAGCUAGUUGGUGAGGUAAAGGCUCACCAAGGCGAUGAUACAUAGCCGACCUGAGAGGGUGAUCGGCCACAUUGGGACUGAGACACGGCCCAAACUCCUACGGGAGGCAGCAGUAGGGAAUCUUCGGCAAUGGACGAAAGUCUGACCGAGCAACGCCGCGGGAGUGAAGAAGGGUUUCGGAUCGUAAAACUCGGUUGGUAGAGAAGAACGUUGGUAAGAGUGGAAAGCUCAUCAAGUGACGGUAACUACCCAGAAAGGGACGGCUAACUACGUG
rnacentral:rRNA from 1 species